rnacentral:lncRNA from 1 species
CUAGUUGUAUUGGUCUCAAUCCGUAUUCUGGAAGAAGACAGAUGAAACCAGUUCAAAAAUUCAUCUUGAGCUCACUUUGACUAUGAUGACACUGGUAGAAGAAUCUCUAUCCACAUAGGUAGGAAAAUAAAAGUAAAUAUCUUUAGAAUUUCAUGUUUAGGUUCUUCAAAUCUAUAUGUCAAACUCGCAAGUCAUGAUUGGGGAUAUGUAGGUGUUGAGGGCCCCUGGAGUCUUCUUCCUAAGUGAAGCUCUCACUGUCUUGCCACUCUG